rnacentral:lncRNA from 1 species
CCGAACAUUCCGAGAUUAAUGGCCAAAGAGCCAUCAUCUCGAGGGGGCGUAUUAGGACAUAAUGUCCCACAUCGGAAGUUGGAAGGGAUCCUAAGUAAUAUAUAAGAGAUAUGGGCCACUCCACUCAUUGCCAAUUGGUUUUGAGUUAUUAGGACAUAAUGUCCCACAUCGGAAGUUGGAAGGGAUCAUAAGUAAUAUAUAAGGGAUAUGGGCCACUCCACUCAUUGCCAAUUGGUUUUGAGUUGGAAGCCCAUAUUCUAAUAUGGUAUCAGAGCCCGAUCCACACAUGUCCAACCCGAUCCGACCCAAAGAUGGUCCAAUCAUCGACAAGGCCCAAAAUUGAUGCCGUCGAUCUAAGCCCGAACAUUCCGAGAUUAAUGGCCAAAAGAGCCAUCAUCUCGAGGGGGGGCGUAUUAGGACAUAAUGUCUCACAUCGGAAGUUGGAAGGGAUCCUAAGUAAUAUAUAAGGGAUAUGGACCACUCCACUUAUUGCCAAUUGGUUUUGAGUUAGAAGCCCAUAUUCUAAUAAUUACUACUUAUUGUUUUAUGGGCAUCAAAUUUUACUCCGGUUUGGUUAUUAUGUUUACAUCGAUUUCCAUUUCUGAUUACCAUUUGGUAUUUGAUUGAAUCAAUCUUUUCGUUCAACAUCUUCGUGACACUCUUCACAAACAGACUAGGAUUUAUUUCAUAUUUGUACUUGCAAAAUGUAUAUAUACAGAUUGAUACAAUUUCGUAUUGAACUAUUUUGGUUUUUCCUUGCAAACAUUAUGUAAGGCUGCACCAUGAACAACUACAGCUUUGGUGUUCCCGAAAUUUGAUGGAACCUUGUUGCGUGAGUGGAUCCACGACUGUGAACAAAUUUUUCUACCUUCAUAACACACCACAUAAACAGAAGUCUCGUCUUGCCUCUCUCUAUAUGGAAGAUGAAGCUCUCCAUUUUUUUUGCCAACAGCUCACGUUCUUGACAUAUUCUUGACUAAAACUCCCUCCGUUUCGUUUUCCUUGUCGUUUUAGAGUUAAAAUUUUGUUUCAUAAUAGUUGUCGUUUUAGGUUUUCGAUGCAAAUGUUUUGUGAAAAUUCCAGUUUUAUCCCUACUGUUUUAAUGUUUCGGCCAAUGAAUUUUUUUUAUAAAAUAUAUUAAUAAAGAGUAAAACAGAAAAUUUAA